rnacentral:tRNA from 1 species
GCGCCUGUAGCUCAACAGGACAGAGCAGCGGAUUUCUAAUCCGCCGGCUGGGGGUUCGAGUCCCUCCAGGCGCG